GUGGCUCAUAGAAACUAGCAACAUGUAAUCUUGUUACAUUGGAGGACAUCCCAGUCUUGAGAUAAGCAACCGAGCUUAGCUCUAUUCACUACGCACAGCACAUUUACAUACCUUCUCCCUUGCCUUUUGUGGGGCAAGAUCCACUCCGACUCAGUCUAGCUAGCAAUGGAUAUCUUUCUUUUGCAAAGAAUUCCGUACCCUACAGGGAAAGAAAAGUCCCAUUGAUUGACUUAAUUCAAGCCCCGGGGCAUGAUUUUGAGUAUAUCUGCCCUAUCUGAGCCACACGGCCUCAGAAAGGAGGAGCCCUGAACACAACAUCUUGGAAUCUGUACACGACACGCAGGCUUUGAGCACCAGCCUCCCACCACACCGCUUUCCAGGGCCUGUUCUCUGGCUACAGUAGAGCUCUGAGGAGGGGAUAGGAGCUCUUCUUCCUCUUUUAAUAAAGUUGGGGCAUGUUUUAAUGAUA